UGAGGCCUCCCAGCAAGAGUGGAUGCUUCCACCAUUGCCGCUUCAAAGCCUCUUCAUGGGUGCGGCUCAAACUUUCACCUUGAGGGCAUCUAGAGCAGGAGUUGGCAAAAACGGUCAUGUAGACUCAGAUGAUUUGGUCCCAGAACAGAAGAACCAGAGCAGGAUACGUCAACCCCAUCAAAGUCAGGAGGAAUGGGCCAGAGUGGAGACGGCGGACAUGUUGUCUCUCCCAACACCUCCGAGGCCCCCUCGUCUGCUAUGCAGGUCUCCUCACCUGCAAAGCAGGGCCCUUUAUGGGUCUCUGCGUCUCCACAUCUCGAAAGUCUGUAAUGCCAGUCUCCUCUUUGUUUCCACGCCUGAGACGCGGGUCCCCUCUCCCAUCUCCUCUCCUGCUAAGCUCCCACUGCCAGUCUUCUCUCCCUCGACCCCCCCAAGAUCUGAGACACAGGUCUCCGCUCGGAUCUUCACGCUCCCCAUGCUCGCAUCUCCAGUCUCCACACCUGUCAUGCAGCUCUCCUUGCCGACCAGUCUCUUCCCUGGACUCCACGCCUGAGACGCGUGUCUCCUCUCGCAUCUCCUCACCCGCCAAGCCCUCACUGUCAGUCUUCCGGCCCCUCUCCACGCCCACAACGCCUGCGACGCUGGCGAUCUCCCCUACAACGCCCACGACGCAAGUCCCCUCCCGGGUCUCCACGCAAGUGUCACGGGUCUCCUCACCUUCAAUGCCCACGACUCCUGGGACGCAUGUCUCCAAGCCAAUCUCCACUCCCCGCACGCCAGUCUCCACACCUGCAACACCGGAGACACGGUCUCCUUUUCGAUGCCCACGCUCCAGUUGCCCGCAUCUCCGGUCUCCACGCCUGGAACGCAGCUCUCCUCGGCCAUCUCCCCACCCCAGACCGCUGCAACGUCCGGGACGCGGGUCUCCCCACCGGUCUGCACGCCCACCAUGCCCUCGACACCCUCGUCUGGCAUCUUUUCGCUCAUCUCUAUGCCUCCGAUACCAGUCUCCUCCCUCGACUCCACGCCACCAACACCCCAAGGCAGCUCUCCGCUCCUGUCUCCUCACCUCGCUGGUCAAACCCCACUGCCAAUCUCCUCGCCCCUCUCCACGCCCCCGACGUCUGUGACGCCAGUCUCCCGCCCCGGACGUUGGUGAUGCCCCGGACAGAGACUUCCUCUCCAGUCUCCAUGCGUAAGCCCCUGUCGCCAGUCUCAUCGCCCGCCUCCACGUGCGCAAGACCUGUCUCGUCGCCUACAACGCCCGUGACACCCACAGUGCAAGUCUUCUCAGCUGCCAAGUGCCCUCUCCUGCAACGGUGGCGACGCUGGACUCCGUACUGGUCUCCACGCCCGUUGCGCUCCAGCUGCGGGUGUCCUCGCCAGUGUCGGUGCCCUGGCAUCCGCGCUCCUGCCCUUGCAAGUCUCCUCUCCUGAAACGCGUGCAACUCAUGAGUCUUAUCUCCCAGCCCCCCCGAGGUCACCUCCCAUCUGUUCACUGGUCCCAACUCCCUCUUGGCCCACAAGGCUGGUCUCCUCGCGCAGACACACCAAUUCCAGGGAAAUCUUUCUUUGACCUCAGGAACCUAGAUCUUGUUCAGAGGUGGGAACUUGUUUAAUUGGAAUUUGGCACCAUUUGAGUUCUGCCUUGUCUGUUCCGACCUGGGAAUUUGGUUCUUCUCCGUCUCAGCAAUGAUCUUCCAGCUUCUCACUAUGGAUCAGUAAUCUUUCCCCCUCGAUAGCGCAGAUGGAAGGUUUGCGCUCUGCCCUCAGGCCCUCUCCAAACGCCAGCAGUUGAAUGGAUCCCUAUUCACCCGCUGUCUUGAUGCACCCCCCCACACACACACACACAGAUGCACGCGCACACGCAGGCACACACGCGCGCGCGCGCGCAAAGCUCUGCAUCUACAAGCCCAGGAAUCCCAUCACCCAUCAAGUGCACUAGACCUCAUGGACCCGUGGGAUCAGAGCUCCAGCUAUGAAUAGUCCAGAGAGAAAAGUUUGCCCCCUUCUGGUCACUCCCCUCUUUUUGUCUGCUGCCCCCCCCCCCCCCCCCCCNNNNNNNNNNNNNNNNNNNNAGUAUAUAUGCUACGUCUCUGCUUCCACUGUCUUCAAACAGGGCAAGCAAGAAGGUCUCGAGCCUGUUUGUCCACAGUUUGUGCUUAUUCACAGAGCCUUGCCUGCAGGACCUCUCUCGCAGAGAAGGUCCCAUGACUGAACUCGGUGAACGUGGUGGAAUAUUUCAUAUAUUGUCUAUAACUGUGAGCUGGUAACAGGAUGCGCGUGCCUAGGUUUAGCGCUGCAAUGCAUUCAGUUGGAGGUAUGUCACCCUGUCCACCAGACCCUCUAUGGAAUCCCAGAAUGCAGUUCUGCACAGUGCAUGUUAGGGCAUCAGUAAGACACCCAGCUGCCCAGGAGCUGAAGUGGGGUCUCCGCCACCCACUUAGGGCAUCUCCCCUCAUUGUUUGCUCCCCAGACAAAUGCCCACCUGUUUAGCUGCCAUCCCACUGGAGCUUAUUCCAUCUACAUUACUUUUUCUUUUUCUCUCUCAUCCCCUGCCUCUCUCUCAUUUUCUUGCCCACCACAGACCACUCUUCCAAUGUCCAAAAACGUUUAUUUCCCUUAUUUAUAUGAGCAACUUUGUUUAUUUGAGUCCUCCUUUCCUAGGACAUUUUCACGGGAGCAUAUGUUUUUAAUGUACAUAAAUAAGAUUGUAUUUUAAAUUUCAUUCUGUUUAUUUUUUGCACACCACUAUUUAUAAAACUGUGUGACACUGAGUGUAUUUAUCCCAUUGCUUCUCACUGCUGCAUCAUAUUCCCUGGUGUGCAUCUCCACGUGUUGCUGGCAUCUUCCUUCAGUAAUGCCCUUAGGCUGCCUCCCACUCCCAUGACUGUGAAGGAUUCUGUGACAACCCCCUCAACUGUCAUCUCGUUUGACCAGGAUGAGAGUUUCUUCCUCGAUUCAUUCCCAGGAUCCUGGCUACUUGGUCAUGUUUUAAACGUAUAAAACAUUUAAUCUCCAUCAUGGAUACCCCAGUCUACACUCUGACCUUUAGCCCUGACCCCUGUCAACCCACACCAUUUAUCAGCUUUUUAUCAUUUCACCUUUCUGAAGGGCAUACAGAGAAAGCCUUUCCUUCAUGUUUUUCAAAAUAUCCUGUUCUUCCACAUAAAUUUUAGAAUAGUUGAGAAUUUAUUCCAUAUUAUUCUUUUGGGAUAUAAUUGACGUAUUACAUUGUAUUUAUAUUAUUUGCUUAUAUGAUUUGGGGGCAAAACUUUAUCAAGUCCACACACAGACACAAAGGGCAGGUAGCAUUCAGAUCAGCAUUGUUUAGAGUUUACAAGUGAAUUUGGACGAAUCAGCUUCUUGUUAAACUUUCCCAUUCGUAGGCAAGUUAUAUCUCCCCAUAUGUUCAGAUAUUUAAUGCCCCCCAAUAAAAGUUUACCAUUUUAUGCAGAAUGACCUUGACGAUUAUUUGUAGAUUUGUCCUUCAAUUACCCAGUCUUUGUUUUUGUUCUGAGAGGGCUCUUUUGAAAAGAAAUCAUUUUUUUUCUGUAAGAAGUUGUUGCUGGUGAAUAGGUCUCUUUUGAGUUGUGGGAGGUGAUCUGUUGUCCAGCAGCAGCCUUGGUGAAAUCUGUAACAUUUCUGAUUGUUUGCAAAUUUUCCUGGUUUUUUAAUGUAGGCAGGUAUCCUGGGCAAAUAAUUAUAAUUUGUAUCUUUUUCACCAAAUUUCCCGCUUUUUCUCGACCCACUGGGCUGGUUAUGACCUUAGAUAUAAAGCUGAAUAUGUGCAAGAAUGGUGGAAAUCUGCAUCUUGCCUGUCAUUCCAGGAAUGCUCUGUACUUUACCUAGUCUGUGGAUUGUUUGCUGUAUCUUUCUUUUCUUUUUUUUUUUAAAGAUUUUAUUUUUCCUUUUUCUCCCCAAAGCCCCCCGGCUACAUAAUUGUAUAUUCUUUGUUGUGGGUCCUUCUAGUUGUGGCAUGUGGGACGCUGCCUCAGCGUGGUUUGAUGAGCAGUGUCAUGUCCAUGCCCAGGAUUCGAACCAAUGAAACACUGGGCCGCCUGCAGCGGAGCGCACGAACUUAACCACUCAGCCACGGGGCCAGCCUGCUGUCUCUUUCUAGCAGAGGUUUUUAAAUCAGAUUUUAAUAAUUUUAUUCCUUGCUUUCCAGGAUGUUACUAACAUUUUAAACUAUGACUGGGUACUAACUAUUAACAACUGCUUUUUCUGCAUCUACUGAG
rnacentral:lncRNA from 1 species